rnacentral:rRNA from 1 species
AGCAUAUCAAUAAGCGGAGGAAAAGAAACCAACAGGGAUUGCCCUAGUAACGGCGAGUGAAGCGGCAACAGCUCAAAUUUGAAAUCUGGCCCUCGGGUCCGAGUUGUAAUUUGUAGAGGAUGUUUUUGGUGAGGUACCUUCCGAGUUCCCUGGAACGGGACGCCAUAGAGGGUGAGAGCCCCGUCUGGUUGGAUACCGAUCCUCUGUAAAACUCCUUCAACGAGUCGAGUAGUUUGGGAAUGCUGCUCUAAAUGGGAGGUAUAUGUCUUCUAAAGCUAAAUAUUGGCCAGAGACCGAUAGCGCACAAGUAGAGUGAUCGAAAGAUGAAAAGCACUUUGAAAAGAGAGUUAAAAAGUACGUGAAAUUGUUGAAAGGGAAGCGCUUAUGACCAGACUUGGACUUGGUUGAUCAUCCUGGGUUCUCCCUGGUGCACUCUUCCAGUUCAGGCCAGCAUCAGUUCAUCGCGGGGGAUAAAGGCUUCGGGAAUGUGGCUCCCUCGGGAGUGUUAUAACCCGUUGUGUAAUACCCUGCUUUGGACUGAGGUUCGCGCAUCUGCAAGGAUGCUGGCGUAAUGGUCAUCAGCGACCCGUCUUGAAACACGGACCAAGGAGUCGUCUUCGUAUGCGAGUGUUCGGGUGUUAAACCCCUACGCGUAAUGAAAGUGAACGCAGGUGAGAGCUUCGGCGCAUCAUCGACCGAUCCUGAUGUUCUCGGAUGGAUUUGAGUAAGAGCAUACGGGGCCGGACCCGAAAGAAGGUGAACUAUGCUUGUAUAGGGUGAAGCCAGAGGAAACUCUGGUGGAGGCUCGCAGCGGUUCUGACGUGCAAAUCGAUCGUCAAAUAUGAGCAUGGGGGCGAAAGACUAAUCGAACCUUCUAGUAGCUGGUU